rnacentral:rRNA from 1 species
GAUGAACGCUGGCGGCGUGCCUAAUACAUGCAAGUCGAGCGAACAGACGAGGUGCUUGCUCCUCUGACGUUAGCGGCGGACGGGUGAGUAACAUGUGGAUAACCUACCUAUAAGACUGGGAUAAUUUCGGGAAACCGGAGCUAAUACCGGAUAAUAUAUUGAACCGCAUGGUUCAAUAGUUAAAGACGGUUUUGCUUUCACUAAUAGAUGGAUCCGCGCCGCAUUAGCUAGUUGGUAAGGUAACGGCUUUCCAAGGCGACGAUGCGUAGCCGACCUGAGAGGGUGAUCGGCCACACUGGAACUGAGAAACAGCCCAGACUCCUACGGGAGGCAGCAGUAGGGAAUCUUCCGCGAUGCGCGAAAGCCUGACGGAGCAAAACCGCGUGAAUGAUGAUGGUCUUCGGAUCGUAAAACUCUGAUAUUAGGGAAGAACAAAAGUGUAAGUAACUAUGCACGUCUUGACGGUACCUAAUCAGAAAGCCACGGCUAACUACGUG